GGACUACGGGGGUAUCUAAUCCGGUUCGUGCCCCCAGCUUUCGUCCCUCACCGUCGAACCCGUUCUGGUAAGACGCCUUCGCCACAGGUGGUCCCACAGGGAUUACAAGAUUUCACUCCUACCCCUGUAGUACCUCUUACCUCUCCCGGUUCCAAGUCUGGCAGUAUCCCCCGAAAGCCUAAUAGUUGAGCUAUCAGAUUUCCCGGAGGACUGACCAAACCGGCUACGGACCCUUUAGACCCAAUAAUCACGAUCACCACUCGGGCCGCCGGUGUUACCGCGGCGGCUGGCACCGGUCUUGCCCGGCCCUUGCUAACAGGUGUAUUUUACACACCUGGACAGCCAGCAUAUGAUGCUGGCACUCGGUGUCCCCUUAUCACGGUUUCCCGCAUUGUAAAGUUUUCGCGCCUGCUGCCCCCCAUAGG
rnacentral:rRNA from 1 species